GGUUGUUGUUGUUCUCUCCUCUCCCUCAGACAGACGGAGGUACAGAGGUUGUUGUUGUUCUCUCCUCUCCCUCAGACAGACGGAGGUACAGAGGUUGUUGUUGUUCUCUCCUCUCCCUCAGACAGACGGAGGUACAGAGGUUGUUGUUGUUCUCUCCUCUCCCUCAGACAGACGGAGGUACAGAGGUUGUUGUUAUCUCCCCAUCCAGACAGACGGAGGUACAGAGGUUGUUGUUAUCUCCCCAUCCAGACAGACGGAGGUACAGAGGUUGUUGUUCUCUCCUCUCCCUCAGACAGACUGAGGUACAGAGGUUGUUGUUCUCUCCCCAUCCAGACAGACGGAGGUACAGAGGUUGUUGUUAUCUCCCCAUCCAGACAGACGGAGGUACAGAGGUUGUUGUUGUUGUUCUCUCCUCUCCCUCAGACAGACGGAGGUACAGAGGUUGUUGUUAUCUCCCCAUCCAGACAGACGGAGGUACAGAGGUUGUUGUUAUCUCCCCAUCCAGACAGACGGAGGUACAGAGGUUGUUGUUAUCUCCCCAUCCAGACAGACUGAGGUACAGAGGUUGUUGUUCUCUCCUCUCCCUCAGACAGACGGAGGUACAGAGGUUGUUGUUCUCUCCUCUCCCUCAGACAGACUGAGGUACAGAGGUUGUUGUUCUCUCCCCCCUCAGACAGACUGAGGUACAGAGGUUGUUGUUCUCUCCCCCCUCAUACAGACUGAGGUACAGAGGUUGUUGUUCUCUCCCCCCUCAGACAGACGGAGGUACAGAGGUUGUUGUUCUCUCCCCCCUCAGACAGACGGAGGUACAGAGGUUGUUGUUCUCUCCCCCCUCAGACAGACGGAGGUACAGAGGUUGUUGUUCUCUCCCCCCUCAGACAGACGGAGGUACAGAGGUUGUUGUUCUCUCCUCUCCCUCAGACAGACUGAGGUACAGAGGUUGUUGUUGUUCUCUCCUCUCCCUCAGACAGACUGAGGUACAGAGGUUGUUGUUCUCUCCUCUCCCUCAGACAGACUGAGGUACAGAGGUUGUUGUUCUCUCCCCCCUCAGACAGACUGAGGUACAGAGGUUGUUGUUCUCUCCUCUCCCUCAGACAGACGGAGGUACAGAGGUUGUUGUUAUCUCCCCAUCCAGACAGACGGAGGUACAGAGGUUGUUGUUAUCUCCCCAUCCAGACAGACGGAGGUACAGAGGUUGUUGUUCUCUCCUCUCCCUCAGACAGACUGAGGUACAGAGGUUGUUGUUCUCUCCCCAUCCAGACAGACGGAGGUACAGAGGUUGUUGUUAUCUCCCCAUCCAGACAGACGGAGGUACAGAGGUUGUUGUUGUUGUUCUCUCCUCUCCCUCAGACAGACGGAGGUACAGAGGUUGUUGUUAUCUCCCCAUCCAGACAGACGGAGGUACAGAGGUUGUUGUUAUCUCCCCAUCCAGACAGACGGAGGUACAGAGGUUGUUGUUAUCUCCCCAUCCAGACAGACUGAGGUACAGAGGUUGUUGUUCUCUCCUCUCCCUCAGACAGACGGAGGUACAGAGGUUGUUGUUCUCUCCUCUCCCUCAGACAGACUGAGGUACAGAGGUUGUUGUUCUCUCCCCCCUCAGACAGACUGAGGUACAGAGGUUGUUGUUCUCUCCCCCCUCAUACAGACUGAGGUACAGAGGUUGUUGUUCUCUCCCCCCUCAGACAGACGGAGGUACAGAGGUUGUUGUUCUCUCCCCCCUCAGACAGACGGAGGUACAGAGGUUGUUGUUCUCUCCCCCCUCAGACAGACGGAGGUACAGAGGUUGUUGUUCUCUCCCCCCUCAGACAGACGGAGGUACAGAGGUUGUUGUUCUCUCCUCUCCCUCAGACAGACUGAGGUACAGAGGUUGUUGUUGUUCUCUCCUCUCCCUCAGACAGACUGAGGUACAGAGGUUGUUGUUCUCUCCUCUCCCUCAGACAGACUGAGGUACAGAGGUUGUUGUUCUCU